rnacentral:lncRNA from 1 species
UUUGCAGCGGGGCUAUUGUCUUUGACUGCACGUUCUCUUGAUCCCUAAUCAUUCAGAUCCUUUCUAUGUAUGUUGGCUAUAGUAGGUUCAGAUUCACUAUUUGGAGUAGGAUGCAUCUAGAUGGAAUCUAUUGACUUUGGUUGAAAAAGAAAAUAAAAGAAUAGUACUUUACAAGUUAAUCACAUAGGGAUGCGAAGGGAUUUUUCUUUAUUUUCUUCCUACUCAUUUGUAUGAUAUUAGUUAUUUUUUAUUUAUUAGGUAUUGUAUUUUAUCAUUUGCUGCAUCAUAUUUUUUAUGAUUAUGAUAAACUCCAUAGAUUAGGGUAAUGAUUUUAGGACCAUGAUGAGAUCAUGCCAGUGAGAUCUAAAAUCUUGAUAACCCCAAUCUAAAAUAUUUCUAGUCGUUUGAUCAUCGAGUCAGGGAUCGAUGAUACUGGUAAGACUGGUACAUCCUAUGUAUGUUCGAUGGAGAGGGUGGUUGAUCUCACAACCACUUGUGUGGUGAUACUAAUACAAAGAUGUAGGUGCUCAUUAGAGAAUGAGUUCACUGAACUGACCCAUCAAAAGAACAUCUGAUGGAGCCUUACAGCAUGUCAACAGAUGGUUCUUCAAUGGGAGUGGUGCAUGUGAUCUUUUGAUCUGAGAUCACCAUGGUACCUUGUGUACAUAGAUCUUUUGGUUUAUUUUCUAGUACACCACUUUGAGAUGUGUGUGGGAUAUUCUUGGUAUGGUGAAGUGUGCAUGGAGGUUGUGAGUGGUCAAUAAAGAAUCAAUCACUCCUUGUAGGAGGAGAGAACAUUCUAUGUAAUCUCAUAGGAUGAUGACUCUGAGAGUCUCUAGCCAGAGCAGGGAUGAACAGUAGAAAUAAUUUUUACUGGUUCAUUAAUCGAGUCAUCAUCAUCGGAUCGAGAUACAUAUGGAUAGAUAUUUGAGUUUGACAUAUUUUCAUAUUCAUGAUCUUUCCGGGAUAUUGUGUGAUCGAAGGAUUGAAUUGCUUGGUAACUCGUCACGGAAGGAUAAUUUUAAUAUUUUUAUCAAAUUUCAAAUUUUUUGAGUAGUCAUGAUAUAUUGCUAGACGUCAAUCUUGACUUGUGGACUCAUCAGAAUUAAAAGAGUUUAAUUCAAG